GAGCGAACCGUGCGAACGUUGUUCGGAAUCACUGGGCUUAAAGGGCGCGUAGGCGGCCUGCCAAGUCAGGGGGUGAAAAGCCCCCAGCUCAACUGGGGAAGUGCCCUUUGAUAUGGCGGGCUCGAGCGAGGCAGGGGGUCGUGGGAACUUCCGGUGGAGCGGUGAAAUGCGUUGAUAUCGGAAGGAACGCCGGUGGCGAAAGCGCACGACUGGGUCCUCUCCUGACCGCUGAGGCGCGAAAGCCAGGGGAGCAAACGGG
rnacentral:rRNA from 1 species